rnacentral:rRNA from 1 species
AUUGAACGCUGGCGGCAGGCCUAACACAUGCAAGUCGAGCGGAUGAGGGGAGCUCGCCCUCGUAUUCAGCGGCCGACGGGUGAGUAAUUCCUACGAAUCUGCCUGGCAUUUGGGGAUAACGUCCGGAAACGGGCCCUAAUACCGCAUACGCCCCGAGGUAGAAAGUGGGGGAUCUUUGGACCUCACGCUAUUUGUUGAGCAUAGGAUGGGUUAGCUAGUUGGUCGGGUAAAGGCCUAACAAGGCGACGAUCCGUAACUGACAUGAGAGGGUGAUCAGUCACACUGGAACUGAGACACGGUCCAGAAUCCUACAGGAGGCAGCAGUAGGGAAUAUUGGACAAUGGGCGAAAGCGUGAUCCAGCUAUGCCGCGUGAGUGAAGAAGGUCUUCGGAUCGUAAAACUCUUUAAGUUGGGAAGAAGGGAAGUAUGUUAAUCCCUACCUGUUUUGACGUUACCAACAGAAUAAGCACCGGCUAACUUCGUG